rnacentral:rRNA from 1 species
UACAGAGGGCGCAAGCGUUAUCCGGAAUUAUUGGGCGUAAAGAGCUCGUAGGCGGUUUGUCGCGUCUGCCGUGAAAGUCCGGGGCUCAACUCCGGAUCUGCGGUGGGUACGGGCAGACUAGAGUGAUGUAGGGGGAGACUGGAAUUCCUGGUGUAGCGGUGAAAUGCGCAGAUAUCAAGCGGAACACCGGUGGCGAAGGCGGCCUUCUGGACAGUGACUGACGCUGAGACGCGAAAGCGUGGGGAGCAAACAGG